rnacentral:rRNA from 1 species
GACGAACGCUGGCGGCGUGCCUAAUACAUGCAAGUUGAGCGCUGAAGGUUGGUACUUGUACCAACUGGAUGUGCCGCGAACGGGUGAGUAACGCGUGGGGAAUCUGCCUUUGAGCGGGGGACAUCAUUUGGAAACGAAUGCUAAUACCGCAUAAAAACUUUAAACACAAGUUUUAAGUUUGAAAGAUGCAAUUGCAUCACUCAAAGAUGAUCCCGCGUUGUAUUAGCUAGUUGGUGAGGUAAAGGCUCACCAAGGCGAUGAUACAUAGCCGACCUGAGAGGGUGAUCGGCCACAUUGGAACUGAGACACGGCCCAAACGCCUUAGAGACGCAGCAGACGCGAAUCUUCGGCAAUGGACGAUAGUCUGACCUAUCAGCGCCGCGUGAGAGAAGAAGGUCUUAGGAUCGUAAAACUCUGUUGGUAGUGAAAAACCGUAGUAGUAGACGAAAGCGCAUAAUGUGACGGAAUCGAAAAAGAAACUGACGGCUACCUACGU